rnacentral:lncRNA from 1 species
UCCUGUCAAACCAUCCAACCCAUGCCAGCAAUGGACAUCGGUUGUUAAAUGAUGAUGAAAUAAGGUUUGAAAACUUACUGCAGCUGUUUUGGUAGCAUUUUAUUGAUGCACCUAUAGAUUAACAUCACAACAUCAUUCCAUCAUGCUCUGAUGAAAUUUUAAACAUGUAUAAACAGGCAAAGUAAAAGCCUUGAACGUGAUCUGUUCAACACCUAACAUGUUGAGUAAUAUAUACAUAUACAUACACACCAAAUGUUUUGUGAUUUUAAGCGUAAAUUCAAUGUGUUAUAUAUGCAACAUUGAUUCUUAUAUAUUUAUAUAUUUUUAUAUGAUGUUUAUAUAUUUAUAUAUUACUAUGUUUUUAAACGUCGGACUUUAUGUCUGUUCUGUAGAUAUAAAUGAAUAUAUGAAUAUAUGUAUGUGUUUGAUCUCUCUGUGGAUUUUGUAAUGUUCCUUUAGUUGUUGCUUACAUUGCCUCCCCUCGGAUUAAUAAGUGCAUACAUACACAUAUACAUACACACACAUACAUGCAUGUGAAUCAAAGUUAUUAUUUGUUUGUUUUGUGUAUUUAUUUCAGUUUGCUUUUUUUUUGUUGUUUUCUUAUAGGUUCAGUUGAUUCUACAACAGAUGCAAGAUAAAUUCCAAGAAAUGUCAGACAAAAUCACCGGAAGAAAUAUCCUUUUUCUAAACAUUGAAGAUUGGUGUUCUGCUAGCAUUGGUUUAAAUUUUUCAUCCAGCAACCUCAAUGCCAGCAUCAUUAUCAUCAUCAUCAUCAUCAUGCUUUUUUUUUCCAAGUUGGCACAGUUUGGAUGGGGUUCUUAGGACUGAACCUGGAACCAUGUGGUUUGUAAGCAAGCUACUUACCACACAGCCACUCCUAUGUCUAUACGUCUAUGUAUAUGUGUGUAUCAAUUAACGAAUACCUGGCAGGUGUGCAAAUGUUCUCAAUACUAUUUGCAUUAGUAGAAGAAAUAUACAUAUGUUAGGUAUUCAUUUAUGCCACUUAUAUUUAUUUCUUUAUUGCCUACGAGGGGGGGGGGGGGGCUAAACAUAGAGGGGACAAACAAGACAGACAAAGGGAUUAAGUCAAUUACAUAGACCCCAGUGCGUAACUGGUACUGAUUUAAUCGACCCCGAAAAGAUGAAAGGCAAAGUCAACCUCGGCAGAAUUUGAACUCAGAAAGUAACAGCAGACGAAAUACUGCUAAGCAUUUUGCCCGGCAUGCUAAUGAAUAUGCCAGCUUGCUGCCCUUUGUGCUACUUAUAUUUAUUGUGUCUUGUAUUGAGUCCUUUUUGAAUCAUUUCCCUUUCAGAGGAAAUCCAUGAACAACUUAUCAUCAUCAUCAUCGUUAAACGUCCGCUUUCCAUGCUAGCAUGGGUUGGACGAUUUGACUGAGGUCUGGCGAACCAGAUGGCUGCACCAGGCUCCAAUCUGAUCUGGCAGAGUUUCUACAGCUGGAUGCCCUUCCUAAUACCAACCACUCCGAGAAUGUAGUGGGUGCUUUUCUGUGCCACCGGUACGAGGGCCAGUCAGGCGGUACUGGCAACGGUCACACUCAAAUGGUGCUUGUUAUGUGUCACCUGCACAAGAGCCAGUCCAGCGGCACUGGCAACGACCUCGCUCAAAUGUUUUUUCACGUGCCACCAGCACAAGUGCCAGUAAGGCAACACAGGUAUUACUAUGUAUAUAUUUAUAUAAAUAUAAAAAUGUGUAUGUCACACAUACACUCACACCCAUAUGGGAAUUCCGGCACCCACGACAGACGAAUUUCAUCUGCUAUGAUCUAUCUGUAUACUUUUAUGCGCCAAACCCCUAUAUGAGAGGAUCUCUCAAGGCUAAUAGUGCCGUAUUCAGUGUUCUAACAGAGCAUCCUUGUUAAGUUGGAUAUAGAAAAUCUCAUUGAUUUGAACCCAGUCAUGCCUCAGCUUGUUACAGUCAACCAGUAGAAACCUGUUGAUUUCUUGUUGCUAUAUAAACUACUUAAAGUUAUGCCUGGGGUUUAGGUGCUUUUGUUGCAUUGUCAGUUUUCUGUGUUAAGUUAUAGGGACUGGUUGACAUAUGCUUAUCAAAUGCUCAGUUUUUUUCUUAUUUAUAUCUGUUAUUUGUUGUGUUACCCUAUUUGUAUUGAAAUGCUUUGUGCAUUUCAAUUGAUUUUCAAAAUAACAAUAUGCUGGGAGUUACUAAAACAACUAGUUACUACAUUAUUAAUUUGCAACAUAACAAAAUAUUCUUAGAUAAAUUUCUGAUGGAAGGAUUAAUUUAAGUAUAAACACGUUCAGAUUAAAGGUUUGUGUAUUGCAACACCAGGAGCAGUCAGAAGUGUGUUGGUCACAAAAGGGGUUAAAGGGAAUUUUAUAAUCAUGUUCUGUAGGGAGACAAUGUCUGUUUGGAGGAAGAGGUGAUUAAAUGCUGAACCAAUUAAGUUUAAACUUAUCUCUUGAGGAGAUUAAUCUUUGCUACGAGAUAAUGUAUGCCAUAAUUGUGCUGUUUGUCUGUUCAGCAAACUAAGAAAAUAGUAAUUGUGGUAAGUAGCUUGUUUACCAACCACGUUCCGGGUUCAGUCCUACUGCGUGGCACCUUGGGCAAGUGUCUUCUACUAUAGCCUUUGGCUGACCAAAGCCUUGUGAGUGGAUUUGGUAGACGGAAACUGAAAGAAGCCUGUCAUAUAUAUGUAUAUAUACAUAUGUGUUUGUGUGUCUGUGUUUGUCCCCCUAGCAUUGCUUGACAACCGAUGCUGGUGUGUUUAUGUCCUCGUUACUUAGCAGUUCGGCAAAAGAGACCGAUAGAAUAAGUACUGGGCUUACAAAAGAAUAAGUCCCGGGGUCGAGUUGCUCAAUUAAAGGCGGUGCUCCAGCAUGGCCACAGUCAAAUGACUGAAACAAGUAAAAGAGUAAAGAGUAUAUAUAUAUAGGUAUGGUUGUGUGGUUGGGAGCUUGCUUCCCAGCCAUAUAGUUCCAGGUUCAGUCCCAUUGCAUGGCACCUUGGGCAAGUGUCUUCUACUAUGGCCCUGGGUCAACAAAAAAAAAAUAGCCUUGUGAGUAGAUUUGGUAGACAGAAACUGAAAGAAGGUGGUGAACUGGCAGAAAUGUUAGCACGCUGGGCGAAAUGCUUAGCGGUGUUUUGUCUGCCGCUACGUUCUGAGUUCAAAUUCCGCCGAGGUUGGCUUUGCCUUUCAUCCUUUUGGGGUCAAUAAAUUAAGUACCAGUUAUGCACUGGGGUCGAUAUAAUCGACUUAAUCCGUUUGUCUGUCCUUGUUUGUCCUCUUUGUGUUUAGCCCCUUGUGGGCAAUAAAGAAAUAAGAAACUGAAAGAAGCUUGUCGUGUGGGUGUGUCAUUGUGUGUCUGUCCCUAACACUACUUGACAAACUUAGCAGUUUGGCAAAGAGAGAGCAAUAGAAUAAGUACCGAUUUGAUGGAGAGAGUGAGCUAAUGUAUGGCACAUGCAUUUGAUCACUAUAAACAAAUCAGGUCGUGUGCAGGUCGUUUGGCAACAGGUGAACACUCAUACAUCGUCCUUGAUGGGAGAGUCCAUUAUAUUUUAUAUAUAUCAGUUAUAUCUAUAGGUCUACAUACUUUGAAAAACUAUACUUGUUUAUGGUAUGCGUAUGUGUGUAUAUAUCUACACACACACGCACACUCUCCCUAUAUAUAUGUUAUCAGUUAUAUAUAGUUCUACAUGCACUGAAAACCUAUAUUUGUCUAUGGUAUGCAUGUGUAUGUAUGUAUAUAUAUGUACUAUCUCUCUCUCACACACACACUCUUCCUAUAUAUAUGUUAUCAGUUCAUUAUAUAUAGGUCUACAUACAUUGAAAAACUAUACUUGUCUAUGGUAUGCAUGUGUGUGUGUGUAUGUGUAUGUCUAUUUGUGGUGUCCUGUACUUAUGUAUAUAUAUUUAUAUAUGCAUGUAUAUAUACAUGUAGAUGUAGGUACAUAUAUCUAUGUAUGUAUGCAUAUAUUUUAUUUAUUACACUAUUGUAUGACUGAGCGCCCUCGCGUCGAUCCGAUUCGUUUUCGUUUCGUUUCAUCUCCUCCAAGUAAGUUUUGUUAUAUAUAUAUAUAUAUAUAUAUAUAUAUAUAUACACACACUCUCUCUCACACACACACUUAUUAUAUAUAUAUAAGUUAUCAGUUCAUUAUAUAUAGGUUUACUUACACUGAAAAACUAUACUUGUCUAUAGUAUGCAUGUGUAUGUAUGUAUGUAUGUGCGUGUGUGUAUAUGUAUAUAUAUAUAUAUAUACACACACAUGCGCACACUCCCUACAUAUAUAUAUAUAUAUAUAUAUAUAUAUAUAUAUAUAUGCUAUCAGUUAUGUAUAGGUUUACAUACAUUGAAAAACUAUACUUGUCUCUGGUGUAUGUACAUACAUUUGAGAGGAUGAAAUCAGGUGUUAAAUGUCAUUGUGAGCCACACAUCAGCAGUGGUGACAUUCUAGUGGUCACUGACCAGUGUCAGGAUGACUGGUCACUGACCUCUGUCAGGAUGACUGGUCACUGACCAAUUGGUUGUUAGCUGGACAAACUAACAUUUCAGUCUGUUUUGGCCGACACUGAUAUUGUAACAUCACACACUAAUUGAUCAUUAAUAUCUAAUUACUAAUUAGUUUGAUGUGAACCCGUUAUUAAUUAGGUUAUGAUUCUGCAGUAAUUAGAAAUAUUGUCUGAUGUUGCUUUGAGUCAGUAGAUCAAACGAAACAGAGGUUUCUGACCUCUGACCUUUUGUAAUUAUACUUCUAAUAGGUGCAGGUGUUGCUGUGAGGUAGGAAUGGUCCCUUCAGGUAUGGUCAUUGCCAGCGUCACCAGACUGGCCCCUAUGCCAGUGGCAUUUAAAAAGCACCCACUACACUCUCGGAGUGGUUGGCAUUAGGAAGGGCAUCCAGCUGUAGAAACCUUGCCAGAACAGAUUGGAAUCUGGCACAGCCUUCUGGCUUGCCAGUCCUCGGUCAAACCAUCCAACCCAUGCCAGCAUGGAAAGUGGACGUUAAAAGAUGAUGAUGAUAUUUGUAUGUAUGUUCAUGUGUUUGGAGAGCUUAAUAGGUUUCCAGUGGUAAUGCAGUAAUCAUCAUUGAUUUCAUGUGGUGAACUCUAAUUUUAAUUAAUUGAGACUAUAUCUGUAUGUAAAGGGAGUAAACACUGUUGAACAAUGUUUAAGUCAACCAAAUCACCUUGACCAACCAGUCCGUCGGGCGUCUAUUUGUCACCUCUGGUCACAGCACGCUGUCCACUCCUCUCUGGAUCACACUUUCCUCAUCCAUGUGAUCUCAAUUGCCCUCCUGAAAUCGUAAUUCCACCGUUGUGGAGGCCUUCCAGGUGGUCGUUUCCACUUGCGCAGGUACCACUCGACAACUGCGCGGGUCCACCGAUUAUCGGUGAAUCAGGCGACGUGUCCAGCCCACCUAAACUUGCUGCGUGUGACAUCCCUCUACGGUGACAUCCCUCACGCCAGACUUCUCUUUGAUGACCUCACUACUGAUGUGCUCUCUCAAUGAGAUUCCAAGCAUUAAGUCAACCAAAUAAAGGCAAAGGAACUUAAAUAGCGUAUAUGAGACUUCGGGAUGUAAACUUAUUAAAAAAUUUCAUAAUUUUUGCCUUUAUAAGUCAACCAAAUAAAGGCAAAAAUUAUGUAAUUUUUUAAUAAGUUUACAUCCCAAAGUCUCAUAUACGCUAUUUAAGUUCCUUUGCCUGGUCUGUUGGCAUGAGUUUCUCAGGGUUAUAUAGAAGCAGGUAUUUUGGUACAUCACAAACUCCACUAACUCACAGUAGUUCUACAGAAUUUAUAUUUCUACAACAGCAGUCUGUCAUGGACCACCGCCAAGUGUCCUGUAAUGUUUUGAUGACAUCACUGUCUUGUCAAUCAGUCGUCAAUCCCUGUUGACACAGUCACUUUAAUGACACUAUAGGAUUAGUCUUUAAUCUUGGAUUAUACAUACAUUAAUCACCACAACCUCACCGACUGACUUGUCAGACUGGAAUUAAUCUAUGUUAUUAUAUUCACCUUCCUGUUGACAAACUUCUUGUCUGUAACCCUGGAUAUAAGGCCCUUGUUGGCUGUUGUCAACUGAAGCCACCUAAACCCAGAAUUUGUGAUGUGCAUUAGAAGUAGAUAAUAUGGCAAGGAGUCGGGGGGUUAGGGUAGUGUUCAGCAGAUAAGGGUGACAACUCUAGACAAGUCCCAGCCUUAUUACAUCUCCUUAGUAGGUAACGUAAUGAAGAAGGAUAAUGUGGUGUUUAGCAGAGAAGAGUGACAAAUCUAGCCAUGAUUUUAGUUUUAUUAGACCUUCUUAGAUAGGAUAACAAGAGAAAGAUAGUGUGUUAAGAAGCUGACAAGGACGAGAACUCUAGAUAUGUUUCAGUCUUAUUCUACUUCUUUAAGUUAUCGGAAAUCAUCAUAAUAAUUUAACAUCCACUUUCCAUGCUGGCAUCGGAUGGUUUGACAGUUGCUGGCCAGACAGAAGACUGCACCAUGCCUCUCUGUUUUGGUAUCGUUUUUACAACUGGAUGCCCUUCAUAACACCAACAAUGAACUCUAUUACGUCUUGGAUACUUUUUCUCAGUUGAAUAUCCAAUGUCAUGUAUAUAUAUAUAUAUAUAUAUAUAUAUAUAUAUAUGAACAAAGCAUUCAAGCGAGGUUGUUGACAGUGCCGCUGGACUGACUCCUGUACAGGUGGCACGUAAAAAACACCAUUUCGAGCGUGGCCAUUGCCAGUACUGCCUGACUGGCCCUCAUGCCGGUGGCACUUUAAAAGUACCCGCUACACUCUUGGAGUGGUUGGCAUUAGGAAGGGCAUCCAGCUGUAGAAACUCUGUCAGAUCAGAUUGGAGUCUGGUGCAGCCAUCUGGUUCGUCAGUCCUCAGUCAAAUCGUCCAACCCAUGCCAGCAUGGAAAGCAGAUGUUAAAGGAUGAGGAUGAUAUAGUGUGUGAAUAUUAUUAUAUGUGUGCGCGUGUUUGUAUGAUAUUUGUAUAUAUUUAUUUUAUUUUAUCUAGUUUCAGCUCAUGAGCUGUGGCCAUGCUGGGGCACCGCCAUUAAAAAGAAACCUGUUUAUAUAUAAUAUUUCUUAGCUGAAAUAUUUUGUCUUCUGUUGCCGUUUAAUUAACAAUUUUUCAGUCUGUCAUUUGAUUAUUUUCCUUAACUUUUGCUACUGGAUGAAAUGGCAAAACGAAUUGACGACCUGGAGAAAAACAUUGCUACAAUAAUGACCGAUGCCGGUUUGGACAACAUUGAAUAGUGUGAUUGGAUUUUCUUUUAUCAUUGAUGUUUAAAAUAUUCCCAUGUUCUCUCUCUCUCUCACACACACACAACAUCUCUUAUGAAUGGAGCAGCAACAACAACAACAACAACAGCAGCAGCAACAGCAGGAACAUGGUGGUGGUGAUGCUGGUGGUUGCGGAGCAGAAGUUGUAUCUUGAUAACGACAUAUUGAUAUAAAUUUUUUUCUGAUUUGUACAUUCUGCUUGCACAAUCCAUUUCGGAGUGAGUGUCUUUAUCUUCCUGUAUUCAUGAAACUAACUAACUUGCAAGCUAUGAAGAAUUAAACACAUGAUUUACAUUUC